CCGGGACAGACAGUCUCCCAAGGACACGGUUUCCUUGCAGAAUAAUGGAAAUUUAGGCACCAGACAGAAAGUCAAGACGGGGACUUCUGGUCUACCCGGGAGACUAAGGUGGCCGACGGCGUUUCGUUGAUUCCCUGGAGGACCCUUCACAUGUGUGCUCCCGAUGGAAAAAUCAGAACGCUCCUUUUGCUUUACGGAGAAUCCCAUCUAACACACAGGACAUGGGGUUGGUGUGAACCCAAGGCGCAGAGGCCAACACCUGUGCCAUCUGUGCUCAUGGAGAGCUGGAGAAUCCGAUGA
rnacentral:lncRNA from 1 species